rnacentral:rRNA from 1 species
GAUGAACGCUGGCGGCGUGCCUAAUACACGCAAGUCGAGCGAACAGACGAGGAGCUUGCUCCUCUGACGCUAGCGGCGGACGGGUGAGUAACACGUGGAUAACCUACCUAUAAGACUGGGAUAACUUCGGGAAACCGGAGCUAAUACCGGAUAAUAUAUUGAACCGCAUGGUUCAAUAGUGAAAGACGGUUUUGCUGUCACUUAUAGAUGGAUCCGCGCCGCAUUAGCUAGUUGGUAAGGUAACGGCUUACCAAGGCAACGAUGCGUAGCCGACCUGAGAGGGUGAUCGGCCACACUGGAACUGAGACACGGUCCAGACUCCUACGGGAGGCAGCAGUAGGGAAUCUUCCGCAAUGGGCGAAAGCUUGACGGAGCAACGCCGCGUGAGUGAUGAAGGUCUUCGGAUCGUAAAACUCUGUUAUUAGGGAAGAACAAAUGUGUAAGUAACUAUGCACGUCUUGACGGUACCUAAUCAGAAAGCCACGGCUAACUACGUG